rnacentral:hammerhead_ribozyme from 1 species
AUCCGGCUGACCAGUCCAAAAUAGGACGAAACGCACGUCCUGGAG